AUCAGCAUGUGCAAAGAUGAAGAGGCAUAAGGACUGACCAGUGGGUCACGGCAAUGAGACAUUUACUGCUGACCUCCAAGAGAAGACUUCCAUUGAAUGAGAGGAAGAUCUACACUACUAAUGAUCAAACUUACCUGGAGCAGUAUCUGACACAGAUAUGUGUUGAGUGAAUGGAUGAAUAAAUAGAUAGAAGGAAGAUCCUCCAACUAUGAAGUUUCUUCUUUUCUUCUGCUGCUGUUGAGUAGAUGAGGGUGCCAAGAAAUAAGACAGCAACACCAGGAAGAAGAACAAAUUUGGGGCACUGCUGCUGUACUGAGAAUACAGCUGUGAACAACAUCCCUGUCGCUUUCGUUCUAGAGAGGAAAAACAGGAUCUCUAAUGCCUGUCAUCUGCGCCAUGGGCUUUAGUUCAAGUGAGUCUUCCUCCUACCUUCCGUGCUUUGGUGGAUGAUUUCAAGUUUAAGAGUGACGGAAUGCCAUGAAUUUUCAUGCUGCCUACAUUUCAGUAAGACAACCUUGCUGGAUUUCCCCCUCCAUUUUGGAUUAUAAAAUCUAACCCCUGCGGAACAUCCUUUCACUUGGAGAGAAAAAUUUACUUGGAAAAAUUUCACUUGGAGAGAAAACCAAGAAAGCUUCUUGGUUUCCUGAACUAUUUUGAUUAUCUGUGUAGAUAUGGCUUAUAGUAUUGAAAUGAGGUGGCAGAAAGAGUAGUAGUGAUAAAAAUGGAGAAGAGAAAGGUCAAGUGAGUUUCAGUGAUUUUGCCAACUAAAUUCUAGGAUCCUUAAUGAAAAAAAUGUGACCACCUUUAUCACUUUCCAGGAUCAUCCUGUAUUUUCAAGUUUCAGUAGGUACCCUUUUACUGUGAUGGAAAGAAAUGCUUGACUUGGGUCUAUAUAUUUAAAUUUAUUUUUAUUUUUUAUUUUUAUUUAUUUAUUUAUUUUUGAGACAGAGUCUUG
rnacentral:lncRNA from 1 species